UGUGUACUGUUUUAUACGUAGUACUGUUGCUGUUUAUUGUUAUAUAUGUAGGCAUAUAUAUAUAUAUAAUAUUAAAAAAGCGUUGAAGUCGUAGUGUAAUGCUGAUUUGUGCGUGUGUGUAUGUCUUUCUCUCUUUCUUUCGCGCGCGCUCUCUCCCUCUCUCGUGAGCAGCGAAUCCGUCCUGAGUUUCCAAGCGAAAGUUGCAUGGAGACACACAGCGUAAGACGCGUGUAAUGAAGAGAAUGGUGAGAGAGGGAGAGAUAAAAGAGAAGGAAAGCACGAACAAACUCAUACCAAGCGAGAUCACAACAGAUCUCCACCGACUAGUCUGUUUUAGGAAAAAGAAAUAAGGGCAUCGGGGCGAUAUUGUAAAAAAAAAAAAAAAAAAAAAAAAAAAAAAAAAAACACUGCAUCGAUGCAACAGAAGCGACUCGGAGCCCUUGCACGGAGUUGGAGAGGCUGAAAUUAAUGUACAUUGCAUGCACUCCACGUAACGCUCCGGAGCGAUGCCUUUGUGAGUGUUUUUUUUUCGUACUGCGAGCUAAAAAUAGCAGCAGUGUUUGAUCGCGCUCCAGAAAUAGGCAGAGGGGUAACACAAGUAUAAAAAGGACUGCAAUUCUGAGAAACCUUGGACAUUGCUGAGCAAGGGCUCAUUGCAUAGGUAAGUACAUGGGCAAAGCGUUGUACUUCUUGUGUUUGGUUAUUUGCAACUGGGUUUGAUGCAUGCAUGGUGUUGGGUUAUACAGAAGCCAUUCCCGCCACAGAACAGAAACGACGCAGGGGUAAACAACAUUUUAACCACUGGCAUGGACUUCAUCCAAGCUUUGAUUGUAACUUCAUGUGUGUUUUUUUUUUCUCUCAGCUUCAUGGAAAUUAAAACGCCAUCUCUCUCGAGCAGGAAUCUCACAAAUCGUAAAUAUGACAAGCAAAAAAAAAAAAAAAAAAGCAAGACCAAACUCAUUUGUCUGACGGCGCUGUUGAGCCAUUUUACGCUUUCUGUCUUCGUUACAACUGAAAUUUCGCGAAUGGAAAUCCCUACCAUCAGAGGAACACCGGGUGAUGUUGGUUUACUAAACGAAGAGGACACUAGAUGAAAGCAUGCAUGGGAAAGAAGGAGUGCCACGAGGCGCUGAAGGAGAGCCGACACGGGGGGAACCCACAGGCUGCGCAGUUGGGCUGAAAAUACAAUGUGGCGUCAAGGGGAGCCUGUGCUCCUGCUCGACCUGCACCAAAAUUACCCUCAACUAGGCAUUUCUUUUUGAAUCCCACCCGCAGAUGGACGCAUCAGCGCGAAUACUCUGCUUUCCAGAGUCGUUCGAAAUGCAUCCUUAAGUUUCGUAUUCUAACUCCGCAUGACAGUUUUCCCGCCUGCUUUGUUCGUACAAUUCAGUUUGCAGUUAGAAGCUAAAGAUAAUAAUAUGGUAAUAGGCGGGCUGACUUGGAUUACUCUUCCGCCCACGUCAUUUUCAUUAUACAGCGCUGCAACACACUGUGGGUUUUUUUGUUUUGUUUUUUUCUUUUCGUUGCUAUGAACUGAAAUACUGCUCCGGUGCUGGCACACAUGCAUUCACUGUUUAUUUAUCAGUUCUAUUUACCUACAGAGUAUCACCAGCAAUCACAAAACUGCGUCUGUCAGUAGCCUACUCUUGACAGAUUUGUAACUUCAAGUGCAGCACACAGACUUCGCUGAAAUUUGGCAUAAAUCUGUCCAAGUCCGUGCUUUAGAGUGAGAAUACCUGCGCGUAAGAAACAACAGUUGGUAGACUCCGCUAUCGCGAUAUAUCGCGCCAAAGAGCAGUUACACUGUAACAAUGUAGCUCGUACGAGUCGACUUAGAUAGCAGAUUUCAGUUUUAUACGAGACGUGCAGUGCUUUCUACCCGAGUAUUCGUUAUCCUAGUUAUAUUUGUUGUAUACCUACCAAGAUACAUCAUCCAAAUGAAAUAAACACUGAAACUGGUCCAUUACUUCUAUCAGGAAUGUAAACCUGUAUUUAAUGAGCUGCACGACAUGGGAAACGAGAAGAAAAAAAAACGAUGUUGGUAACCUUGACCUCAAAGACCAUGUGGCUUUCUUUGUUAAACGCACCUAGUCGAGACAUGCCAAAAUCUUCUUAAAUAAUGCAAUACUGAUGGUGUAAUUUUGGUGGCAAAACAGAUUUCUCCGAGUCGUGACUGCUAUAGUGAGUAAUAUGGGCGCGUUGGCUGCGUCAGGAGAUGCAGUCGCUGUGCGCUGCAGACGGAAGGGGGAGAAUCGUGACUGACUGCUGGAGACGUCCGCAGACGAAACAACCACCCAACAAAAACAUCUUAAUGGCAUCUGUGCAAGAUAUUUACACAUGCUAUCUCUCUAGCCCGUUACUCUUUGUGUUGAGCCACCUCAACCUCCCCUUGCACCACCGAAGACAUGAGAAGAAUAUCUGUGAUUAAGGGACGGGAGGGAGGAUCUGAGUUUGGGAUGAGUUCCGACUGCUGUGUGUGUGUGUGUGUGUGUGUGUGUGUGUGAGAGAGAGAGAGAGAGAGAGAGAGAGAGAGAGAGAGUGUUUGUGUGUGUGUGUGUGUGUGUGAGAGAGAGAGAGAGAGAGAGAGAGUGUGUGUGUGUGUGUGUGUGUGUGUGUGUGUGUGUGUACCGGCCGGGGAGGGGGGUCCAGAUAUAGAUCGUGACCCUCCCACCUAGUACAGUUUCUUGUAUAUAGUUCCAAAAAGGGAUUGCCAGAGACUUUGUGGUGCAUUUUUGACAAAUGAUUGCUAUGUGGAUAUAGGAACAGGAAUUCUCUGGGUUUUACAAAAACAUUUGGAAGGAGUCUAGUCACUACAGACAUCUCAGAGUCUUCUUCAUGCUGCCCCAUGCACAUUAUUCACCUCCAUGGUGAAACCUGGAAGUCUGAAGAUCCACAGAUGUCAUCUGAGGCACCACCUACAAUUUUCUGCUUCUAUUAUCAGUAAAUGGUACAGUACCCUUCAACACAUCAGUCCUUAUUUGCAAAUAUUUUGACUUAAUAUUUUGUUGUUUUUGUGAGAGGUAUUCAGUGUUUUCAUUCGAAAAUGUAAAGCCUAUACUAAUAUGGUUUGUUAUUAUAUCUGUUAUCAAUUUUAUUAUUCAUAUAUACAUUUUAUAGUUUGACCGGGACGAUGGAGUUUAUUAGUUGUCUCAGAAUGAUCUGUUAGCUUUUUCAUUCCACCGUUCCCUGACAAACAGACUAAGAUGUCAGAUUGCUCUAUAAAGAAAGGAACGAUUUCAUGUCUAUAAAGGGGACCAGUCCCUUUUACUAAAAGGAAGGCUGAUACCCACGACUAGAGGAAAUCAAAGUGUUCAUUACAAGUUUGAAUAUAUGAGUCCGAGAAGGUGCGACGGAUGAGUCAGAAACAUCGUAGGGGCCUCUUCUACUUUUGAGGGAGUCCUGUGACCGGAUCUUAAAAUAAAUGUGCUUAUGAUGGUGAUGCAAGUAUGUAAUACAAUUUUAAAACAAAUUUAACAUCUUAUUCAGUCUUUUGUAUGACUAGUGUAAGGGUAGUUAUGCAUCCAAGUAACUUUAAUUAUAUUGCUUCACUGGCAUUUGUAUGUAAUACAAAUAUACAGUAUAUGUUACAUUUACAUUUACAUUUAUUCAUUUAGCAGACACUUUUAUCCAAAGCGACUUACAAACAAGGAAAUCCAAGCAAAAUAAUAUAUCGAGCGGAGAACAAUACAAGUAGUGCUACCAUACAAGAUUUAUAAUUGAGUUCUAUAAAAACUCAUGUUAUACAUAUUAUACCUGGUUGUAUGUAUUCUAUUUGAAUAGUUUUGAUUAAACAUGUUUAGGUUCAUUAGUUAAGCAUGAACAGGACUUUAUGAGUGAAUUACAGGAGGCAUUCAGAUUAAACUUUGAUUUCACAUAAAUGCAAUGAUAACAUUUUCAUAUUAUUUAUGUUAAUGAUAAAUUAUCCAUGUUUUUUUUCCUCAGUAACAUUCUUCUCUACUAAUCUACAGAUUCCUGAAUGAAGUAAUGUCUGUCCACUGCAAUUAUUUAAAAUCCCAUUAUUUAGAUGAGAUGAAGAAGAUGAGUUCUUUUUGAGUCUGGUUCCUCAUGAGGUGUCUCCUUCAUGUCGUCUCAGGGAGAUUCCUUGCCACUGUCACCUCUGGCUUGUUCAUUAGGGAUUUCUCAUCCAGAUUUUUGUAAAGCUGCUUUGUAGCAAUGUCUAGUAUUAAAAGCGCUGUACAGAUCAAAUUUAAUUGAUCAAAUUAAUAUCAAAUUAAUUCUAGAUGCCACAGAUGCCAAGGUAUACAAAAGGUUACAUUACAUACUCAAGUGUAUAAUAUGUUCACACAUACAUUACACAUACAUGAAACUUUUUCUUUUAAAACAUGUUUAACAUAGAAUUUUUAAAACUGAUUUAAAUACAUUUCUUUAUGAAUAUUAUAAGCUAUUCAUUCUAAUUACAUACAGAGUGAAUAAAAUUAGCACAUUUUAUUAUGAUUGCAGGAUUUUAAAAAACAGUGUCGUAGUAGUGUGGCGUAAGCAGGCAUGCAGUGGUGGUUUAUAUUUGAGUGUGCCAAGAGCAUGAUACAAUAAGUAUCACAAAAUAUGAUGAAAUGCACACAAUCUCUAAAUCAGUUUUGAAUUUAAUAUGUGAAAUUAAUGAAGCAGAGCGAAGUUACACUUUUGGAUUUGUAGAAGGCUUAUCUGUGUCGUGUGAUGUAAGGGGUGUGUGUAAUUUUAUUAGUGGGUAUGCAUUUAUUUAGAUUUAUUUAGUAUAAUUUUUUUGUGUGUCAACCGUAGGACAUUUCCGUGUGCCAAGCAUCCUGUCGCAGUACCAUAUCGCGUUUCUACAGAGAGCACAGAGAGCAAGACAGAGGAAGGGACGAUGGUGGGCAUGUGCUGAGAUUCAGAAUGAAGUGGAUGAAUCAGUCAACACAGCUAGGAAACCAUUAAAGAAAAUCCACAAGAAGUUGGAUCUGCCUUGCGCAAUCUCUUUAUCUCAGCUCCAUAUGUCAAGAGGCCAUCUCUGCAGCUUAAUCACGGAACAAGAUGACAGAGUCUUAACAGAUAUUUAUACUUCUGUUUCUAAAAGCUCUGAUAUGCAUGGAUAUCUCUAUUACUCUAUUGUAAUUGGUGGACAUUGUAGUCUUUAUCAUUUUAUGGAAUCAUGUUUAGUGUCAUGUCAGUUUAGAGAGACUAGGAGAGAGGGCCUACCAGGUUGUAAUCUAGAGCAUAUAACAAAAAUGAAAGAUUAAAUAAAUACAUGCAGAGUUGCUUAAAGCUAUUUUUAGAGUUUUAUUUCUUAUUUCUCAGACAUCUACACCUGUUGAAAGGUGACAGUUUCACACACACUGUAAGCCCAUUAUUUGAAUCUGACACCAAGUUCUGUUGUACUACAAACUGUUGAAGGGGCUCUGCUAAAACUGAGUGUAUUAAUAGAAAAGUGUGGCUUUAGGGUGAUCUGACUGUGUAAUUAUAUGGUAGAUGUAGGACAACAUGACCAUCCUGAGCAGCCAUUUCAAUAAAAGGAGAAUGCCAAAUGUGACUUUUGUUGCAUGUGAGAGAUAUUUAGUAUGUCAAGGCAUAUGCUUGAGCAUGAAGGUGUGCACCCAUAAAUAGUGUGUACAAGUAUAUGCAGAAGUGUGCCUGUAAAAGAGAGUGUAUGUAUUUGUGCAUGUGCCUGUGUCUGAGUCCGUCUGUUAGCCUUAGUCAUAGAACGUAAGUCCCUGUGUAUUAGUGAAAGAUCAUACAGUAAGGUUAUCACAUGAGUGUGCCAAUAAUUACGUGUGUGUGUGUGUGUGUGUGUGUUUCUUGGUGUCUGUGUUGGCUGUCACAUUUCUUACAAAUUUUGGAGUUGAAUGUGUUCAGGAUGUGUGGGAUUUAAAACCUUACAGAAAGUAUUGUAAAUGAAUGACACCAUUAUAACUGUAUUUUACUUAAUAUUUUAUUUGUAUUGGAAAAAGGCUGGCUCUCAUCAGUUAGAAAUAAGUGCAUUUGCCAUGCUGUCUUUCAGCUCGUCCAGAGCAGAUUUGUGAUUUUUAGACGUUUUCAGCAGCUUGACAUUUGCAGUGUUUAUAAACAAAACUGCCACUUGCAUGAAGUAGUGAUCACUGCAUUCCCAUUACAUGGGUUAGAAGAAAUGUAAAUAUGUAUAACCAUGUGACUGUACCAUUAAGUUGACCCUUAUAAGCAAUCAGUGUUUAUAUUUAGCUAUACUGAGUUGCUAAAAACAAUCUCUUGUUCAGAAAUGAACUGUAAGGAUGUCCGAAAUAAUGUUCAAAAUAAUGUAUUGUGAUUAUUUAUUAUAUAAAAGCCAGGUUUCGUGUUUAUUUUUUGCAUUAAUGAUUUAGAUGAUUAUACAUAAGCAUGAAUGUUAUAUGUCUGUCAAGUAUUAUAUAUAAGUAUAUAUACAAGUAUGUGCUGUGUGUGUGUGUGUGUGUGUGUGUGUGUGUGCGCGUGCACGUGUGUGUGUGUGUGUGUGCACGUGUGUGUAUGCCUGAAUGUGUGUGAAGUUUGAUGUAUUCGCGAUUUGCAAGCAGAAUUCUCAGUUGAGUGUGUAUGCCAUGUAUCAUGACUCAGAAUGUAUAGUGGAAUAUAAGGAGGCUGUAAGUGCUUGUAUGUAAAGACAAACAGCAGUGAUUAUGUAGCUGCAGUUGCAUGUGAAAAUGCAG
ensembl:lncRNA